rnacentral:rRNA from 1 species
CGGCGACCGGCGCACGGGUGAGUAACACGUAUGCAACCUGGCCGUGACAGAUGGAUAACCGGGAGAAAUCCCGCCUAAUACAACAUAAUGCCGGGAGGGGACAUCCCCUGCCGGCCAAAGGGGGCGACCCCGGUCACGGAUGGGCGUGCGGCGCAUUAGGUAGUUGGUGGGGCAACGGCCCACCAAGCCGACGAUGCGUAGGGGUUCUGAGAGGAAGGUCCCCCACAUUGGAACUGAGACACGGUCCAAACUCCUACGGAAGGCAGCAG